rnacentral:rRNA from 1 species
UACAGAGGUCCCAAGCGUUGUUCGGAUUCACUGGGCGUAAAGGGUGCGUAGGUGGUGAGGUAAGUCGGAUGUGAAAUCUCCGGGCUCAACCCGGAAAUGGCAUUGGAAACUACCUUGCUGGAGGGUUUGAGGGGGGAUUGGAAUACUUGGUGUAGCAGUGAAAUGCGUAGAUAUCAAGUGGAACACCAGUGGCGAAGGCGAAUCCCUGGAAAAUACCUGACACUGAGGCACGAAAGCUAGGGGAGCAAACAGG